rnacentral:rRNA from 1 species
CUCUUACCCAUGUCUUUUGAGUACUUACGUUUCCUCGGCGGGUCCGCCCGCCGAUUGGACAAAAUUAAACCCUUUGCAGUUGCAAUCAGCGUCUGAAAAACAUAAUAGUUACAACUUUCAACAACGGAUCUCUUGGUUCUGGCAUCGAUGAAGAACGCAGCGAAAUGCGAUAAGUAGUGUGAAUUGCAGAAUUCAGUGAAUCAUCGAAUCUUUGAACGCACAUUGCGCCCCUUGGUAUUCCAUGGGGCAUGCCUGUUCGAGCGUCAUUUGUACCUUCAAGCUUUGCUUGGUGUUGGGUGUUUGUCUCGCCUUUGCGUGUAGACUCGCCUUAAAACAAUUGGCAGCCGGCGUAUUGAUUUCGGAGCGCAGUACAUCUCGCGCUUUGCACUCAUAACGACGACGUCCAAAAGUACAUUUUUACACUCUUGACCUCGGAUCAGGUAGGGAUACCCGCUGAACUUAAGCAUAUCAAUAAGCGGAGG